AGCAGCCGCGGUAAUUCCAGCUCCAAUAGCGUAUAUUAAAGUUGUUGCAGUUAAAAAGCUCGUAGUUGAAUUUCGGGGUCAGUAAGUUGGUCGUGCCACUGGUAUGUACUGGCUUUACUGAUUCCUCCUUCUUGUAGAACCGUAAUGCCAUUAAGUUGGUGUUGCGGGAAAACAGGACUGUUAACUUUGAAAAAAUUAGAGUGUUUAAAGCAAGCUAACGCUUGAAUACAUUAGCAUGGAAUAAUGAAAUAGGACGAACGAUCCUAUUUUGUUGGUUUCUAGGAUUGACGUAAUGAUUAAUAGGGAUAGUUGGGGGCAUUAGUAUUCAAUUGUCAGAGGUGAAAUUCUUGGAUUUAUUGAAGACUAACUACUGCGAAAGCAUUUGCCAAGGAUGUUUUCAUUAAUCAAGAACGAAAGUUAGGGGAUCGAAGACGAUCAGAUACCGUCGUAGUCUUAACCAUAAACUAUGCCGACUAGGGAUCGGAUGAUGUUAAUUUUUUAAUGACUCAUUCGGCGCCUU
rnacentral:rRNA from 1 species